rnacentral:piRNA from 1 species
UGCAAUUCACGCUUUCCUGCGGUGUUGGUGU